UACGUAGGGGGCGAGCGUUACCCGGAUUUACUGGGCGUAAAGCGCGUGUAGGCGGCUGGCCAAGCGUGGUGUGAAAUCUUCGGGCUUAACCCGAAAACUGCAUUGCGAACUGGUCUGGCUAGAGUGUGUGAGAGGGUAGUGGAAUUCCCGGUGUAGAGGUGAAAUUCGUAGAUAUCGGGAGGAACACCAGUGGCGAAGGCGGCGACCUGGGCCAAUACUGACGCUGAGGUGCGAAAGCGUGGGGAGCAAACAGG
rnacentral:rRNA from 1 species